GGAAGAGAGGCUUUUGUGGACUCUUGCCUUUGAGGAUGGAGUUCUUCUCUGUUCUCUCCCGCCACGGCCAAGCCUGGGGUAAACGCUGGGUUGACCACGACUGCCGUCCGGCCUUUGCCGUGGGACAUUGAAGGGCAACGAGUGUCCGUGCUUGGGGCAGGCCCACGGAGGGGCUGCUGUCCUUCCCCGCACCGCCUCUGUCUCGAUGCCAGCGCAGACUCCUGUCAGGGGAGACGAACAGCGGCGUGAGAGGGGUCACGUGGAGCAGGGGAGACUAUGAGAGUCACACAACUAUGUGGUCACGGUCACAAGCACUGAUGGAUAGAUGACCCCUCUCUCCCCAGUAAUGGAGGGGAACAGGACUCACCAGCUGGAGCCUAGAUCCCAUAACAGAAAGACGCAGAUUAGUCACUUAUAAGUUUGGUAUAUUGAUCCCUUGCAAGGGACCUGAUUCAUAUUAGCUCAGACAAAAAAAGAAACAUAUUGGCUCAUGUAGCCAAGACAUUCAAGGAACUCAGCGAUGGGCAGAUCUAACCGAGUCAUGGGCCUACGUCCCCCUGCCUCUCAAGUCCGCUCACCUCCGCCUGACUUCACUCCCCAGCGGGAUCUUACUCAGGCUCCCAGUAGCUGCAGGUUUACAUGGACGUCGACACUGUAAUUCAAGACGGAGACUCUCCAUUCCAGAGUAUGAUAAAACUUCCAAAAAGAUGAAAACUCAUGAUGUUUGAUAUGGAGAAAUAGGAGAGAGUCCCCCAAAUCCUAAUGAGCACACCUGGGGCACAGCCCUUGGUCUUUAAAUGUGCCCUGCACUGAAUGGGAAUAGAACUCUGUAGGGACAAUGACUGACUCCUGGGCUGAUUUGGGAAAAGUACGAGGUGAACCUAAAACAUCUUAUUAAAUCAGAAAGCAAGGAAGGUAAGGAAGACAAAUGGUGAUAGAAAAAAAAGGAAAGGAAGGAAGGAAGCACUUAAAGACUAACAGGGACACGUCCAAAGGACACUUGUGGGAGGAGCUCCCACAAGCCAAACAUGAGACAAUCUGGACAUCAAAACAAAUGAUGAAAGCAAAGAUAAUAAACCCACUGCACAAAGUAGGAAGCCCUGAGCUCACAGUGAGAUAAGUAAACAAAUAAACAAAUAAACCGAUUGCUCGAUGAGAAAUGAGACAUUCACAUUGUCUCAAAGUAAACCCCCUCAAAACACUCAUGAACUGCAAAGUGGAAGAGCGUUACCUCCACGGUGGAGAAGCCUGGCCAACACUGUCAGAAUUCAGGGGCAAAGUGAAUGUCACCAGUAAGGGGACAAUUCAAAAUUGCCUGAUAGGAGGCCUUGAGAAGAACCCAGCUGCGCUUCUGUAAUCUUCCCUGCCACACGCGCACCAUCGGAAUCUAAUCAUAAGGAAACAGACCAACCCAACAGGAGGGACAUUCUGCGAAACAACUAGCCGGUAAUCUUCAUAGGGGUCAAGGUCAUGGUAGGAAAGAUCAAGGAACUGUUUCAGAUGGAAGGAGACUAAAGGGUCACGACAAGUAAAUGCCAUGUGUGAUUCUGAACUGAUUCUUUUGCUCUAAAGGAUAUAACUGGGACAGCUGGUGAAACUUGAAUGGGAUCUGAGGGUGUGAUGGUAGUAAUGUAUCAGCAUCGAUUUCCUGAUUUUGAUAGUUGAUAUAGUAGAGUCCUUAUUUGUAGGAAAUACAUGGGGAUAGAGCAUCACGUCAUCAACGUGUUCUAAAUGGUUCAGGGGGAAAAAGUUAUUUGUAUUGUAUACUUUUCUUUGUAUUGUAACUCUUCUAUAAGUCUAAAGUCGUUUCCACCCCGAAUGUUUUAUCUACCCCAAAAGGAUUGUGAUACGCCCAGCUUAUGUCUCGUAUCUACGAUUGGCCAAUGGCUGCAUCCAAAGGCUUGAGGUUCCCUGAUUGGCCGGUUUGGGUGCUUUGCCCACUCCUGACAUGGGGUGCCUGCAUGGGCAGCUGGAGCGACAGCCCACCAGGAUCAGGGGGACUGAAAAACAGCAGGCUCCUUAAGGAGAGGACUCAAGACAGACCAAAAAAAGUAACAGUUACCUACUGCAUUUAUGUUACACUCUAUUAUUAACUUUUGGAAAAUAAUUCAAUCAUUUGAAAGCAUAUAACCUUUGACUCAGUAAUUCCGCUUCUUGGUAAUCUAUUUGAAGAGAAUCAUCUCAGUAAGGAGCGAUGGAAGCUUUAUAUUCAAAGAGGUUGGUUCCAGUGUUAUGUAGGGUACUGAAAUGCUGAGAGCCACCUCGACCCAAGUAUCAGAGAGAGGCUGAUACCAGGGCCGGUCUGUGGCCAGGUGGCUGACCAGCCCUGGGGCCUCUGGGUGUCCUGCUCACAGGCCUCCCGCAUUUCCUCCUGCAGGUGACAGCAUCUCAGUCCACCCGGCGUGUCUGAGCUUCACAAUAAGUCACGACUAUGUCCUUGAGAAUGACUCAAAGUAAAGAGACUAAUUAUUUCAAAUGUUGGGUAGAGGGAAUACAGCUGAACAAGAAGAAGUAAUGAAUUGCAAUAUAUUACAAUUCAUAUGCGACAACAUGGAGGACUCUCCAAAACCUGCCAUGCUGAGGCAAAGAAGCCUUACACAGCAGUACACAGUGUGAUUCCGCUUCAUGGCUAUGGUGUGAUUCUGCUGUGUGAUUCUGCUUCAUGGUGUUCAAGCACAGAGAAAGGCCCUCACUAGCGACAGACAUCGGAACAACGGCUGCUUCUGGGAACUUUCUGGGUGAUCGGCAGGCUCUGUGUCUUGAUUUACAUGGUGGUUCCAUUGGGUGGUUCCUUUGGUUACUUUAAAAAUCUGAGUGGUCUACUGCAUGGGAAGUAUAACUCUAUGCAAAAAAGAAUAAAAUUUUUUAAAUA